ensembl:ncRNA F45D3.10 ncRNA
AAGGAGGAUUUUAUCAAUUAACGGACAAGAAAAAGAGAGAGAAACAGAUGGAAUGCGGCUAUGAUCGAUUUGAUAACAACACAUUCCUUUAUAUUCUCCUUUUAUUCGACCAUCCAU